AGUCUUUUACUGAGCCUAUGCCUGUGGACUGCAAACUUCACAAGUGUUUUUAUUUCUUUUCUCUCUCCUGGUGGGAUUGGAUGGUUAGAAAGGACUGGAGUUGGGAAUUUUCCUUCCUUCCAUCAGUUAGGCCCUGAUAAUACCCCCAGCAGGACAGAUGAAGGUUAACUACCUUCUCCUGAGGGCAGACCUUGUUAAGAAGAACAGAGUGAUCUGGAGUAUUUCAAAAUGGCUCCUUCCCCCUGCCUCUGCUGGCAGCUCAAGGGGAUUUUUCUCUGAUAUUUACUAUGGGAGCCUAGUUGGCCUCACGGUGUUUGAGCUCAAGGUGGUAAAUCUCACAAAACUGUGGGGGCCCCCUAUGACUUGGUUCCCCCGGAGUUUUUUAUUCUCAGAUGUCCACAAUGAACCUCCAGCAUUUUCAUCAAUUUCAGCCUGGUUUCCCUACCCUGACUCUGCUUCAUGAGAUGCAUGAGGAGAUUUUUCUGUAGCAUUCGCUGUGAGGACCUGUAGAACUUCCGGAGUUCUGGAAGCUAGAAGUCUGAAAUCAAGGUAUCAACAGACGAUGCUCCUUCUGAAGGCUCCAGGGAAGACUCUCCCCUUGCCUCUUGGAGCUUCUGGGUGCUGCUGGCCAUCAUUGCUAUUCCUAGGCUUGGAGCUGCAUCACCCCAAUCUCUGUCCCUUCUUCACACAGCCUUCUCCUUUGUGUGUAAAUAUCUCCACUUGUUUGUGUCACUUCCUAAACGGAGACCAGUGCUUGGAUUUAGGGCUCACUCUGAUCUAAUGUGACCUCCUCUUAACUCGAUUAUACCUGCAAAGAGUAUUUCCAAAUGAGGUCACAUCAACAGGUGCCAGAUGGACAUGACUUUUGGGGAGACACUACUAUGAAAACCAUGCUUAGCUCAAAGGCCAUACAAAAACAGGCCACAGGAUGAAUUCCGCUCACGUGCUAUCAUCUGCUGACCCCUGGUAUGAGUAUUGUAAUGUCAAACCAAACUUAGAGUAAACUCAAAGAUUUUAUUUCCGACUGUAUAACAACUAGGAAAAGGUCAAAUAUUUUAAAAAGUCAUUUUCAGAGACUGGCGCAUUUUGUCAUGUAUAGCACACCAGGGACCGCAUCCAGUUGAGGAAGCUAGAAGCAGAGGAGGUAGAAUGAACCCUAAUAAUAUGUGAUUAAAAAACAGAGUCCUGUCAAGUGAGGCAAAACAACCAUAAUUUGAGAUGGCUAGCAUUCUUAUUUUUACUUCAAAAAACAAACAAAAAAAAGUGUUUUUAUGUUAACAUCUG
rnacentral:lncRNA from 1 species